rnacentral:rRNA from 1 species
AGCGAACGCUGGCGGCAGGCCUAACACAUGCAAGUCGAACGAACUCUUCGGAGUUAGUGGCGGACGGGUGAGUAACACGUGGGAACGUGCCUUUAGGUUCGGAAUAACUCAGGGAAACUUGUGCUAAUACCGAAUGUGCCCUUCGGGGGAAAGAUUUAUCGCCUUUCGAGCGGCCCGCGUCUGAUUAGCUAGUUGGUGAGGCAAUGGCUCACCAAGGCUACGAUCAGUAGCUGGGCUGAGAGGAUGACCCGCCACAUUGGGACUGAGACACGGCCCAAACUCCUACGGGAGGCAGCAGUGGGGAAUCUUGCGCAAUGGGCGAAAGCCCGACGCAGCCAUGCCGCGUGUAUGAUGAAGGUCUUAGGAUUGUAAAAUACUUUCACCGGUGAAGAUAAUGACUGUAGCCGGAGAAGAAGCCCCGGCUAACUUCGUGCCAGCCGCCGCAGUAAUAC